AGAGUUUGAUCAUGGCUCAGAUUGAACGCUGGCGGCAUGCCUUACACAUGCAAGUCGAACGGUAACAGGUCUUCGGAUGCUGACGAGUGGCGAACGGGUGAGUAAUACAUCGGAACGUGCCCAGUAAUGGGGGAUAGCUCGGCGAAAGCCGGAUUAAUACCGCAUACGCCCUGAGGGGGAAAGUGGGGGACCGCAAGGCCUCACGUUAUUGGAGCGGCCGAUGGCUAAUUAGCUAGUUGGUAGGGUAAAGGCCUACCAAGGCGACGAUCAGUAGCUGGUCUGAGAGGACGAUCAGCCACACUGGGACUGAGACACGGCCCAGACUCCUACGGGAGGCAGCAGUGGGGAAUUUUGGACAAUGGGGGAAACCCUGAUCCAGCAAUGCCGCGUGUGCGAAGAAGGCCUUCGGGUUGUAAAGCACUUUUGUCAGGGAAGAAAUCCUUUGGGCUAAUACCCUAGGGGGAUGACGGUACCUGAAGAAUAAGCUCCGGCUAACUCCGUGCCAGCAGCCGCGGUAAUACGGAGGGAGCUAGCGUUAAUCGGAAUUACUGGGCGUAAAGCGUGCGCAGGCGGUUGUGUAAGACAGGUGUGAAAUCCCCGGGCUUAACCUGGGAAUUGCAUUUGUGACUGCACGACUAGAGUGUGUCAGAGGGGGGUGGAAUUCCACGUGUAGCAGUGAAAUGCGUAGAUAUGUGGAGGAACACCAAUGGCGAAGGCAGCCCCCUGGGAUAACACUGACGCUCAUGCACGAAAGCGUGGGGAGCAAACAGGAUUAGAUACCCCGGUAGUCC
rnacentral:rRNA from 1 species